AGCUGAGUUUGAUCCUGGCUCAGAUUGAACGCUGGCGGUAUGCCUUACACAUGCAAGUCGAACGGUAGAGGGGCAACCCCUUGAGAGUGGCGAACGGGUGAGUAAUACAUCGGAACGUGCCCAGUCGUGGGGGAUAACGUAGCGAAAGCUACGCUAAUACCGCAUACGACCUGAGGGUGAAAGCGGGGGACUCGCAAGAGCCUCGCGCGAUUGGAGCGGCCGAUGGCAGAUUAGGUAGUUGGUGGGGUAAAGGCCCACCAAGCCUGCGAUCUGUAGCUGGUCUGAGAGGACGACCAGCCACACUGGGGACUGAGACACGGCCCAGACUCUACGGGGAGCAGCAGUGGGGAAUUUUGGACAAUGGGGGCAACCUGAUCCAGCAAUGCCCGCGUG
rnacentral:rRNA from 1 species